ACGAAGGUGGCAAGCGUUACUCGGAAUUACUAGGCGUAAAGGGCAGGUAGGUGGUUUGGUAAGUCUAUUGUGAAAGCUCCCGGCUCAACUGGGAGAGGCCAAUGGAUACUGCUGAACUUGAGUAUAGGAGAGGUUACUGGAAUUCCCGGUGUAGCGGUGAAAUGCGCAGAGAUCGGGAGGAACACCAAUGGCGAAAGCAGGUAACUGGACUAUUACUGACACUCAGCUGCGAAAGCUAGGGGAGCAAACAGGA
rnacentral:rRNA from 1 species